rnacentral:rRNA from 1 species
AUUGAACGCUGGCGGCAGGCCUAACACAUGCAAGUCGAGCGGAGCGGCGGACGGGUGAGUAAUGCCUAUGAAUCUGCCUGGCCGUGGGGGAGAACGUCCGGCAAAGGGCGGUAAUACCGCAUACUAUCAGAUGAGCCGAGGUCGGAUUAGCUAGUUGGUGGGGUAAAGGCCUACCAAGGUGACGAUCCGUAACUGGUUAGAGAGGAUGAUCAGUCACACUGGAACUGAGACACGGUCCAGACUCCUACGGGAGGCAGCAGUGGGGAAUAUGGGACAAUGGGCGAAAGCCGGAGCCAGCCAUGCCGCGUGUAUGAAGAAGGCCUUCGGGUUGUAAAGCACUUUAAGUUGGGAGGCGUUACCGACAGAAUAAGCACCGGCUAACUUCGUGCCAGCAGCCGCGGUAAUUC